UGGGGAAUUGUUCGCAAUGGGCGAAAGCCUGACGACGCAACGCCGCGUGGAGGACGAAGAUCUUCGGGUCGUAAACUCGUGUCGAGCGGGAAGAAUACCAUUCGGGUCAAUACCUUGAAUGGCUGACGGUACCGCUAAAGUAAGCCCCGGCUAACUCCGUGCCAGCAGCCGCGGUAAUACGGGGGGGGCAAGCGUUGUGCGGAAUUACUGGACGUAAAGGGCUCGUACGCGGCCAACUAAGUCCGACGUGAAAUCCCCAGGCUCAACCUGGGAAAUGCGUCGGAUACUAGAUGGCUUGAAUUCGGGAGAGGGAUGCAGAAUUCCAGGUGUAGCGGUGAAAUGCGUAGAUAUCUGGAGGAAUACCGGUAGCGAAGGCGGCAUCCUGGAACGACAAUAACGCUGAUGAGCGAAAGCUAGGGGAGCAAACGGG
rnacentral:rRNA from 1 species